CUUUCUAAAGAUUGGAACAGUAGAUGUACUUUAAUAACAGCAGUUGAAUGUUUGUGCUUUGUAACUCUUUAAGUGCUGAUUUAUGCACUUUAAUUACUGUUCUUGUAGUAAGGGGUUGGCCUUCUGACAAGACAGUUUCUCGGCUUUUAGAGGCUGGCUCAGGAGUGUUCAAAGCAUCGUCACCCUGCCAAUAUAGGGGAGUGAUGGAAAGCUGUAACACAGGGCUGGCAAUUGGAAAGUUUGAAAGGUCAGUUUGAAAAGUUAAACCCGUAAGAGCUAAGCAUUUUAAGGCCAGCUGACACUGAAGUCACGUCUUCUUUCCGACAUCAUUCAAAGUACGUGAAUUUCAAAAUGGCAAUGGGCAUGUGAAGUCCACCAAAGUUUGAUUUAAAGGUAGGCAGGAAUAUAAUCUAGGAUAGGGAUUAAACCCACAGAAUUGUUAUAAAAUGCAUGGCCAUUAUGGCUGAGCUAGGGUAUGCUUAAGAACAUGUUCAAUUUCUGCUGGUAGCAGGGAGUUUGUAGUUGCCUAUAGAUUUAUAUUGCCAUUGGUCAAAUGUGGUCCACAGACAAUUUGAUAUAGAGUUAUGCUUCCUCCCUGUGAAACUCAGUAACAGAAAAUCGGAUCACACACAAAAUAAGGCUUUUAGGCUGAGUUUACUUCUGAUUGUGCAAAUACAGUAGUAUCUCGGAUGCCCAGAGCUUUUAUGACGUGUGUAAGCCCCAAUGUAUAAAUAAAUGCCAGGAUCAACUAAGAGGUUUCUCCAGUUAUGUCAGGACAUUUUGGCAGCUUGUCUGAGGCUGAUUCCUCAGCUUGCUCUUAAGGAAUGUCAUUUGAUUUUGUAUUUCCGCCGCUUGCAUGUGCUUUAUAUGUGCGUUGCUUAUCUCUGCAGUUCUGAAUGCAUGUGUUUUCUCCAGCUGUCUAAAGCCAAACAGCAAGAAGAGAGGCUCUCAACAGUGAAAUGCAAUGUGAAAUCAGAAAUACUGGUGGGAUCUUACCACGCUUUGGUGGUGUUUUAGUCCUGCGUCAUACUUCCCGUGUACUCCACAGGGACAAACGGUCUCUCCCAGCGUAGUUUACAGCAGUGGAAACUGGGCCAUUGGGUAGGGAAGGGACUGGCAAAUUUCACAGAGCAGCUGUGUCAGAGCUGGGAGUCUGCGUAGCCCCAGCAUUUAUGGGAAAUUCAUGUCUCUUGCUGACCUGUGCUUCCCUGGCAGACCUCUGCAAGAAGGCUGGCUCUUCUGUCUGUAGAGAAGCUGCUGUUGACCCAGCAGUGAAGGCAGAUCCCAGCAGGGUGGCAGAGCUGCUGUCACAAGAGAGCAGAUGGUUGGGGUAGUGAGACCAAAAGCAUUUUAAGCAUGAAACCAGGCUGAUCAAAUAAGCUCUUUUAAUGGAGUUACACUGUCAAAGCUGCUCAGUUUUUGUCUCUGGAAGAGCUGAAAAGAGCUUUGCAAAGGGCAGGAUUCAGUCUAUGCUGGGGGUGUAACUUCUUAAAGGCCAGUCCCAACUGGCAGUGCAGCAUCUUUUAUUUUUAAACACCUCUAGGAGACAGGCUCUGAAGAAUAGAGGCUUCUGGCUGGAAGGGAAAACAUCUGAACUCUCAUAUAUUUCACUGGAAACAUUUAUAGGGUAAAUCAACACUAUUACAAUGUAUGAGGCUAGCUCGUGUCAAAAGCAGUUUAGCUACAGCAGUAACAGUAGUGAGCUCUGUGGUUUAUUAAUUUACUCUAUCUUAAAACAAUAUAUAACAAAGAAUGUGGGCCUGUGUGGCAUUGGGCCGUACCCAGGCUUUAAAAUUAUCAGAACUAUGAAACAGGUGAAAGAGGAAGAAAAUACUUUUAUUCCUUCAAAUAUCCCUCCUGCUACCUCCUAAAUACUAGUUUGUCACCCUUGUCUGACACUGUCAUAUUUAUACUUCGCAUUGGCCCUCAGAGAAGGGAUGAACAGUCUGUUUUAAGGUCUGAUUAUUCAGAGUCCUCUGCUUUGCAGACAUUUUACCAAACAAUAAGACAGAUCCUGUUUCCAUCCCAUCCUCUGAAUGUCAGUGCAAUGAGCUCAGACUAUUUUUGGUGGUGGUGGCAGAGCAGAUUUAAAAGGAUUAAAUAAAGUAGUAGCCAAAGGUUUGGAGUCUUCCCCAUUAUGCACCUUUUGCAGCCUUAUGUCACCUGCAUCAAUAUUGUAUACAAGUCAGGGAAGAGUUGGUUCGUGGUGUUUUUGUCUGGGUGUACAAAAGAUGGAUGUGCUUUAACACCCAUCACUGUUAAUGUGUGUUGCUAUAUGCACAUAAAUUCUUGCAUGCCCACAGGCCUCUCACAUUUCUUUGAAGCCUUUGGGUAUCAUUACUUUUUUUUUUUUUUUUUUUUUUUUUUUACUUUGGAUGUUGCAAGAACAUAUCUGGGAUGCAAUUCUGGAUUGGGAUAGAGCAGAGUACGUAUUUUACAUAUAUUUAUGAAACACAAACUGUGCCAAUCUUGCAAUAUAUCCAAUUGUAAUCAUACCAGGCUUUCAAAGUAGCAGCAAAAAGCAGAGUCUGGAUCAUCAUGAGAAGUACCUUCAUCUAAUUACAAUGUGGGGUUGCUUUUUGUUAAAGCGGUGCUUUUUCACAAUCCCACAUACACACACUUUUUUUUUUUUUCUCCUUAAAAUGUCUUUACCUGGUCUCAGCUCAGGGGAGCUCAAUUGCAGUGGCUUGAGAGAGACUGUCAGAACCCUUUCAGGAAAACGGAGAAUGAGCACAUCUGCACUGCAGUGUAAAGGCUGCAUGUAUGUGCUGAUCAGUGAGUACCUGGGGCGUACAGCUGGGUAGGGGCUAAAUAUCCCUCACCUCCCAUGUCUCAGACAUCCUCCUAAAUUAAAUGUUUCUGGAAAAAACUGUAAAUCUCCAGAGAAGAGGUACAGCCUGCCUCUCCCAUUCAGCAGAAGAGGAGCAAAUGCACUAUACAAAGCUAUUUCCCAUUCUUCUCUUUGACUUGCCUUGUGAGAGACUUAAUGUGUGCCACAAAAGCUACCAGCCUGGAGACGGGGUGUUAUGGACCUUGCGUUCACAUAAUGUUUGAGGGGAGAGUUAUACAAAGUCACAUUUCUUUUGUCAGCGCGUACAAUUAUGCCUGAAGAUUAGAAGGAACUCUCCUAGAUGCUUCACCCUGUGGAAAUCAGGGUGGCGUAUGCUCAGUGAUUCACUCACAGGCUAAAGCUGCUGUGGCCCAAUAUGAUCAUCUUGCCUGACUGCCUGUAUAAUACAAAUUGGCAGCAUUUCAACAAUGAAUAAUAAGAACUCAUUAAUAAGUUAUGGGAGCUGAGAGUCAGUGGUGUUUCCAGGUGUGAGAAUACUUCCUGUAGCACACAGCCCCGCUGGCUCUGUGCAUGGUAUCUCUGGUUUCCAGCAGGUAGUCUUGGGAGAAUUGAGGGCUGGUCUGUGAGAUGCAGAUCCUGUAUGACUUAUGUCUGGAUCAAAAGGAGGUUUAAAGUCUUUCCUGUUGCUAUUGACCAAUUGGAAGCGGAUCCCCAUGCCAGCGUGAUUGCUCUGAUAUGUGGAAUGCAGGGGAUUAAAGGAGAUUCAGCAAGAGAUUUGAGGACAUGUUGGUUGUACAUCUUUUGUCUCCCUCACAACUCCUAGUAGAUUUGAGACAACAUAGCACUUGCUAUUUUUUAACUUGCUAACCCUGGAGAAAGAUCUUUUUUAAUUAGUAGAUGACUUCAGCUCUAAAGAUUCUUUUCAUCCAUACUCGCAUAAGGAAGUUUAAUUUCAUCUUUGCAGAAAUCAGCUGUGCUUAGGAGGCGGGACAUAAAUUGUGCUCUUGUUAUGUAUGCUUAUGUUUAGCCUUCUCCGAUGCCUCUAGGAGAUAAGGCAGAUCUUAGCAUUUGCUCAGGUAGGUGGUGAAUCAGACCCUCCCUCCUGGCCAGCUCUUCCACGCAGCUUGUGUUACAGGUGUUCACAACGGUGUGCCACUGUUAUUGCCUGCAUCUUCAUCCUUUAAGAGGCUCUGUUGGUAACGUUGGCACCCAGUGGCAGCGUGAUGCUUGCUUCACCCCAGCUACCAGGGGAAUGUAGCAGAGCCAGUCGUUGGCAUAACUGAAAAACUGACACUUUUCCAAAGUGCCUGCUCUAGUUAAGCAUUCAGCUGCUCCUAAACUUCUGUCAGGUGGGAUGCCCUGUUCCCUGAGACUUAUUUGGAAGUCUUGUGCGAUUUGGCCAUGCUAACAGAGAAGGCUAAUGGCAGGGACAAGACCUGGAGCCAGGUACCCAACUGCCGCCCUUGAGCUGUAAAUCCCAGGCCCUGCACCAUCCUCACGCUUGCUGUACCCCAGGUGGCAGGUUGGAGAGCACCUAGGGACCAUGACACAGCUCCGUUGAGAAAGAUAACAUAGGAAGCUGAUGUCGUUGGUGCCGUAUUUGCAUGGGCAGGUCUUGAAAAGAACAUCCCCUAGAGAAUAUCUUCUUUCUUAUCUUCUUUCCUUCAGUUCUCUCUCUGACCUGUGCAGACUCAAGUCAGGUCCAGCCCUCUCACAUCUAAGGCAGGCUUUGAUUCAAAUUCUCUAGGACCAGUGAUAUUCCUGAUGCGUCCCACGACUCUCUGCUCAGUUCCUGCUUCAUUUGUGUGCACGCCUUCAGCUCCUUUCUGCCUUUCUCCCUGUCACCCUCGCCAUUUCUUCCCGUGAUCCUUGCGGCCUCUCCUCACCGACCAGAGGCUCUGCCCUCAUCUUCCCUCUCCCGCUUGCUCACACCCCAUGCCCACCACCACUUCCCCUUCUCCCCCUUGACAUCUGUGGACCCUCGCAGCUUUCUUUUGGCCCUCAGAGAGGUUGUGCUUCAAAACCCAGAGCCCGGCCAUCAUCGCCUGGGGCCUGACAGGGGAGUGGGCCGCCAUCCCGUGUCGCGUUGCUUAGCAACACCUUCCUCCUCUGACAGCCAUCUCCCCUCCAGUGCCUGCUGAGACUGCUCCAUGGCCGAACUGAGAGAUCUGAGAGAGUUUCACGGCUGCACUGACCAAGUCACCUAGUCAGCAGUGGCUCUGCACUUCAGCAUCCUCCCCUUGCCGGAUGUCUCCAUCAAUAGGAAGCAAUACAGCCUACUGACAGGGAAUCACCCCACAUAAACUCUUCAAGUUGAUGAGCUCAGGCUGCUCAUACAAUUCACACCUGAAAAUGGCAUUCACGGAGUCUGGUUCACUGAUUUUUUUCCCCUUGAAAAAAAUCUACCAGAAGUUCUCGGUGACUUCGUGAUGAGGCUGGAUGUUUCAUGUGCUAGAGGAGCCAUUUCUGUCUUACAAAUUCCUGAAGGAACACACAGAGCAGGAGUCACCACAGAGCAAACCACCGUGCCUUGGUUUAACCCCAAGGACCACCCUUCAAAAACAGAGUAUCUUGUGAACGUGUAGCAUUGUAGCCUGAACAUGCAACAGCCUGGAGCGUUGAGAGGGUUAUUUCUCGUUUCAGCAUUCCAAGUGGUUUUGGGAAGUGGUCAUUCCCUUUUUCUCUUAAUAAAGCUCGUCCUACUUAGAGAUGACACAAAGCAUUUGUCACAGAGGCUGUACCUGAGCCCUGCUUGGGUUGCGUGAGGCAAAAAGGGCAGCCUGGCAGGGAACAGGGCAGCAGUGGGCUGGGAGGCAGCUGGAGGGGCUCAGUGCUGGGGGAAGAGAAAAGAGCCAGAAGAAGAGAGAAGUGAGAAGCCCUAAGGAAGUGGAGGAAGGCAGUGUAGAGGAUGAGUGGAGAUUUUAAAUCAAGAAAAAAUGCUUCCUUCCAAGCUCUCCUCAAAUCUCUGGAUUCCUCUUGCUGCUCUCAACAAGCAGCUUCGAGGCCCCCUUGCAAAACUCCUCCUCACCUCACUGUUUCCUCCCCAGGGGUGACAGUCAUUAAUUCUGUGGCUUAGGAGCACAGCUAAGAGUCACUGUGACGCUUUGGUGGUGGCGGUUUCAUUGGCAGACGGAUGACAUUAUAUUAAAAGAGAAUGUUGUUGCUCUUCCAAACUCAAAUACUCCAUUUUGGAAGUAAAGCUUUGAACACGUGAAAUGCUGUGUCAUGCUAAGAACCCUUCACAACAGUCCGGUGCUUAACAUUUAGUGGAUACUUUAAUAGUUUUAGCCCAGUUCUCUUUGUUCUCCUGCAGCAGAAAUGAUAACACGCCUAGUGCCACGGCUCUGCUGCAGAAAGAAGUUUAUUAGUGAGGGGGAAGCUGGGUACCGGGGAGGGAGAACAGCAGAAGCUCUCAUAAGACAACUGGUACCUUUGCAUGCAGCAAAGCUGUUGGGUAGUCAAUAGAAUAAGCAAGGCCUGAAGCUGCAUGGAAAACGAGCAGGGGAAAAGGCAGCGCUGUAAUCAUACAGCAGGGCACGGCCCCUCAGGAAAAGCAGUAUGUGGUUGUGUAAUUAAAGACGGGAGACUGGCGUGUACACAGAGCAGGGCACGCUGAAGUUGGAUGGAUAUUCCUUAUAUCUGGAGAACUUGUCCACCUCACCGUUUUUACCGUGUGAUUUUUGGAGAGAAGGUAGGGGAAGAGGGUAUGUGUUUAGUAGGAACGCUGCCGUCCCAGGUCCUGAUGAGCUCCUGCGGGUAGGUUGCACACCCUACCUACACUACCAUGCUUACUUGCGCGGGUAGGUUGCAGCAGGGCCCUCUUCCCUGGCUUCUGUUGUACUCCUGAACACCAGCUACUCUCAGCGACAAGGCCACCACGUGUUCCGGGCCCACCGCCUCAUCCCCUUUCUGCUCACUGUCUGUGCUAAGAGCUGAAGCACAUCCCUCGAUCACAACUCCAGGUGUGUGUGCGCUGAGCAGCAGGUAGCCUCUUUGGAGACUCACGGACGAAGCAGCUAUGUGGCAUGGGGGUUCCAAAAAUAGCGAUUCUUUGGCUGAGCACAGUAGACCUGCAGACACGUACCUAAUUAUUCGCCCUCACCAAGCUGCCACUGUCCUGCUUUCCUGCUAUGGUGUUGUCCCUGGCCAUCACACCCGACCAUGACGGUGGGAAGGGCCCGGCUGUGGGCUCCAGCCCACUGCUCGCAGUGGGGCUGUCUCCAGGCCAGACCCAGAGUUUUGGGAACACUGCGACACCUUACUGAUGUGUCACCCAUCCUGCAAACCCGAAACCCGGGAGCCUUUAUGUUCUGGCAAUUAAAUCUCUCCAUGUCAAGGACAGGAGAGAAAAGCGGUGUCGCUGUGGGCCAGGGGUGUCGCAGUGCUGGUGGUGGGCCCACAGGAGGGCCUGCUUUGAGGUGACCUGGAGGAGUGUGUGCUGGGAGAGGCAAUCCGAGGGGGCCUUGGUGGCAUUGCACAGCACCGAGUGCCCCGAGGGUGUGAGGCCAGAUGGGUUGGGUUGGGUUGG